rnacentral:rRNA from 1 species
GAUGAACGCUGGCGGCGUGCCUAAUACAUGCAAGUCGAGCGAACGGACGAGAAGCUUGCUUCUCUGAUGUUAGCGGCGGACGGGUGAGUAACACGUGGAUAACCUACCUAUAAGACUGGGAUAACUUCGGGAAACCGUAGCUAAUACCGGAUAAUAUUUUGAACCGCAUUGUUCAAAAGUUAAAGACGGUCUUGCUGUCACUUAUAGAUGGAUCCGCGCUGCAUUAGCUAGUUGGUAAGGUAACGGCUUACCAAGGCAACGAUGCAUAGCCGCCCUGAGAGGGAGAUCGGACACACUGGAACUGAGACACGGUCCAGACUCCUACGGGAGGCAGCAGUAGGGAAUCCUCCGCAAUGGGCGAAAGCCUGACGGAGCAACGCCGCGUGAGUGAUGAAGGUCUUCGGAUCGUAAAACUCUGUUAUUAGGGAAGAACAUAUGUGUAAGUAACUGUGCACAUCUUGACGGUACCUAAUCAGAAAGCCACGGCUAACUACGUG